AGGGAACGACCUAGACAAUGGAGAAUAAGUUGUUGCUUGUUGUUCUUAUCACGACCCAAAUCGGAGGGCCACAACGGGCACUUGGUGCCGUACCGAACCGAGUACCAAUGUAACAUAUUUUUUCUUAUCAUACCAUCAUGGGUAAAUGGGCUAGAAGGGUCUUCAUGAUAUAACCAGAAUGAAACAUAAGGGAAUACUUGACAUAGG
rnacentral:lncRNA from 1 species